rnacentral:rRNA from 1 species
ACUCCUACGGGAGGCAGCAGUAAGGAAUAUUGGGCAAUGGACGAAAGUCUGACCCAGCCAUGCCGCGUGAAGGAUGAAGGUCCUCUGGAUUGUAAACUUCUUUUAUCUGGGGCGAAAACCUCCCUUUCUAGGGGGCUUGACAGUACCAGAAGAAUAAGCACCGGCUAACUCCGUGCCAGCAGCCGCGGUAAUAC